GGUGAUAUUUGGGCCAUAGAUCCGUGGUAGAGCAUCUGCCUUACAUACAGAAGGUUCCAGGUUCAAUUCCUGGAAUCUCCA